UCAGAAUUGUGCGCCGACGGUUCGGGCCCGACGCGUCAGCGGAACAUCCGGCCGGUGGCGGUACUUUCCGGCGGCUCGGUGAGGGCCUAGUGUCGCUGCGGGCCGGCACACUUACCUUGAACAAAUUAGAGUGCUCAUCGCAGGCGUUCAAAAAACGAAAGGGCGUGGCCCGCAUACAGGUGCAUGGGAUAACAGAAUACGACCUCGGCUCCGGGCGUCCGGCGGUUUGCGGGGCGAGGUAAUGAUCGAUAGGGGCGGACGGGGGCAUCCGUAUUGCGACGUUAGAGGUGAAAUUCUUGGAUCGUCGCAAGACGAACAGCUGCGAAGGCGCUUGUCAAGCACGUUCCCGUUGAUCAAGAACGAAAGUCAGAGGUUCGAAGGCGAUCAGAUACCGCCCUAGUUCUGACCGUAAACUAUGCCAGCUAGCGAUCCGCCGACGAUCCCUCUAUGGCUCGGCGGGCCGCCGGGAAACCAAGCUAACGGGUUCCGGGGGAAGUAUGGUUGCAAAACUGGAACUUAAAGGAAUUGACGGAAGGGCACCACCAGGAGUGGAGCCUGCGGCUUAAUUUGACUCAACACGGGAAACCUCACCAGGCCCGGACACCGGAAGGAUUGACAGAUUGAGAGUUCUUUCUC
rnacentral:rRNA from 1 species